GGGGGCGAAACGGUUUCGACGGGGGCCAAGAAGUUCAGGCUGCGUGCCGAGCGUCCUGCCUGCUCGUAAAACAGGGUGGGGUUAAACAUAAUCGCAGACGAUUAUGCUUACGCCGUAGCCGCUUAAAGCGGCUGCCGUCCCGCCGGGUUCCUCCUGCAGACCCGGUAGCGGACGCCGACUUGCGGGAUAGCCUCCCCGGAACGCCUGCGUCCGGGGGGGUGAAAUGCAGCGGGCUGGCCGACGGUGCAUCCUGCCCGGAGGAGGCACCGGAGGCGAGAGCAAAAUCCGGUAUACGCACGUAGAGGUCUGGAUGGAAGGUUCUCGGACGCGGGUUCGACUCCCGCCGCCUCCACCA
rnacentral:tmRNA from 1 species